GACAAGUUCUCUGAAUGAGAAAUCGGCGCUUCUGCUGUUAAGGUCUUCUCUUGGGUUACGAAGCAGAGAUUGGCCUGUAAAAGGCAAUCCUUGUCUGAACUGGAACGGCAUCAAAUGUGAUCAGAAUGGUAGAGUAACUAAGAUCAACAUUUCAGGGUUCAGAAGGACAAGGAUUGGGAAUCAAAACCCGGAAUUCUCAGUUGGUUCUCUCGUCAAUCUCACCCGUCUAGCUUCCUUCAACGCCUCAAGGUUCUAUCUUCCAGGUCCAAUCCCGGCUUUGUUUGGAUCGAGUCUGUUGACUUUAGAGGUGUUGGACCUUAGCUCCUGUUCAAUCACAGGAACCAUCCCUGAAAGUUUGACUCGGUUAUCACAUCUCAAAGUUCUUGAUCUUUCAAAGAAUGCGAUCAAUGGGGAUAUUCCUCUGUCUCUUACCUCUCUUCAGAAUCUAUCAAUCCUUGAUCUUUCCUCAAACUCGGUGUUUGGUUCGAUUCCUGCUAAUAUUGGGGCACUCUCAAAGCUCCAGCGUCUGAAU
rnacentral:lncRNA from 1 species